rnacentral:rRNA from 1 species
CAGUAGCCGCGGUAAUACGGAGGGUGCAAGCGUUAAUCGGAAUUACUGGGCGUAAAGCGCACGCAGGCGGUCUGACAAGUCAGAUGUGAAAUCCCCGGGCUUAACCUGGGAACUGCAUUUGAAACUGUCAGGCUGGAGUCUUGUAGAGGGGGGUAGAAUUCCAGGUGUAGCGGUGAAAUGCGUAGAGAUCUGGAGGAAUACCGGUGGCGAAGGCGGCCCCCUGGACAAAGACUGACGCUCAGGUGCGAAAGCGUGGGGAGCAAACAGGAUUAGAUACCCCGGUAGUCCCUGUCUCUUAUAU